GGGGCUGAACGGUUUCGACUGCGUACGUUGAGCUAGGGGAAGCGUGUCGGUGCAGGCAAGAGACCACCGUAAGCGUCGCUGCAACCAAUUAAGCGCCGAGACCACUCAGCGCGAGUACGCCCUCGCUGCCUAAGUAGCGAUUGCGUCUCUGUCAGACCGGGUUUGCUCUCGACCCGGAUCCUGGCAUCGACUAGAGAGCUUUACCGUUCGGCUCGGUCGCGGAGUCGGAUGGGACAUCAAACAGCGACUGGGAUCGUCAUCCCGCCUUGUUCGCGAGAACGGGAGAUCCAAGUAGAGACAUAGCGAACUGCACACGGAGAAGCCCUGGCGAGGCGGCGGAGGACCCGGGUUCGAUUCCCGGCAGCUCCACCG
rnacentral:tmRNA from 1 species